rnacentral:rRNA from 1 species
CAGUAGCCACGGGAAUACAGAGGGUGCGAGCGUUAAUCGGAUUUACUGGGCGUAAAGCGUGCGUAGGCGGCUUCUUAAGUCGGAUGAGAAAUCCCUGAGCUUAACUUAGGAAUUGCAUUCGAUACUGGGAAGCUAGAGUAUGGGAGAGGAUGGUAGAAUUCCAGGUGUAGCGGUGAAAUGCGUAGAGAUCUGGAGGAAUACCGAUGGCGAAGGCAGCCAUCUGGCCUAAUACUGACGCUGAGGUACGAAAGCAUGGGGAGCAAACAGGAUUAGAUACCCGCGUAGUCCCUGUCUCUUAUAC